rnacentral:rRNA from 1 species
ACGGAAUAGAUACCCAGGUAGUCCACGCCCUAAACGAUGUCUACUAGUUGUUGGUGGAGUAAAAUCCAUGAGUAAACGCAGCUAAACGCGUGAAGUAGACCGCCUGGGGAGUACGGUCGCAAGAUUAAAACUCAAAUGAAUUGACGGGGGCCCGCACAAGCGGUGGAUUAUGUGGAUUAAUUCGAUGCAACGCGAAAACCUUACCUGGCCUUGACAUGUAACGAACUUUCCAGAGAUGGAUUGGUGCUCGAAAGAGAACGUUAACACAGGUGCUGCAUGGCUGUCGUCAGCUCGUGUCGUGAGAUGUUGGGUUAAGUCCCGCAACGAGCGCAACCCUUGCCAUUAAUUGCCAUCAUUUAGUUGGGCACUUUAAUGGGACUGCCGGUGAC